UACGUAGGGGGCAAGCGUUGUCCGGAAUCAUUGGGCGUAAAGCGCGUGUAGGCGGCUCGGUAAGUCCGCUCUGAAAGUCCAGGGCUCAACCCUGGGAUGCGGGUGGAUACUGCCGGGCUCGAGUCCGGAAGAGGCGAGUGGAAUUCCCAGUGUAGCGGUGAAAUGGCGCAGAUAUUGGGAAGAACACCAGUGGCGAAGGCGGUCUCUGGGACG
rnacentral:rRNA from 1 species